GACAAGUAUAAUGCUAAUCUGUGGUGAAUUAGAUGUGUAAAAAAAAUAGACACCAUAUCCACAACAAUAAUAUUCUUAAGAAACCAAGAGAUUUUUGUUUGAGCACAGCUGGUUUGGAAGAUCAGUUUUCACAGGAGCACACAAACAAACAAGAGCAGGUUUCACAGGUGACGGAGGUGCAGAGGGACGCACUGAGCAGGAGGAUGUUCAGAGGGGGCGGAGGCCUCGGGACUAGUUUUAAUAGCACCCUGCUGUGGAAGUUGCAGCUCCCCUUAAGCAGACUAACCCCUCGGCCUUGUCCCUCUGCUUUGGCUCUGUUUGCCACAAAAACUGCACCUGCUCAUCUCCAGGUGAGCUCACUGUGGGGCUUCCAGAUUUGA
rnacentral:lncRNA from 1 species